rnacentral:rRNA from 1 species
GAUGAACGCUGGCGGCGUGCCUAAUACAUGCAAGUCGAGCGAACAGACGAGGAGCUUGCUCCUCUGACGUUAGCGGCGGACGGGUGAGUAACACGUGGAUAACCUACCUAUAAGACUGGGAUAACUUCGGGAAACCGGAGCUAAUACCGGAUAAUAUAUUGAACCGCAUGGUUCAAUAGUGAAAGACGGUUUUGCUGUCACUUAUAGAUGGAUCCGCGCCGCAUUAGCUAGUUGGUAAGGUAACGGCUUACCAAGGCAACGAUGCGUAGCCGACCUGAGAGGGUGAUCGGCCACACUGGAACUGAGACACGGUCCAGACUCCUACGGGAGGCAGCAGUAGGGGAUCUUCCGCAAUGGGCGAAAGCUUGACGGAGCAACGCCGCGUGAGUGAUGAAGGUCUUCGGAUCGUAAAACUCUGUUAUUAGGGAAGAACAAAUGAGUAAGUAACUAUGCACGUCUUGACGGUACCUAAUCAGAAAGCCACGGCUAACUACGUG